GCUCAGCCAACUGAGCCACCCAAGCAGCCUUCACCUAAGGUUUUUUUUUUUUUUCAUUCUUUUUUACAUUGAAUGAGUUCAUUCUACUCUCUCGUUUCAUUGAGUUUAUUCUCCUCCCAUUUUUAGUUCCAUUAUUUUAUUUUUACUUUAUUGGAACAUAGAACACAUAAAGAGCAGGUUACCUAACAUUGUUCUCUCCUUUGCACCUUAGUUUUCAUCUUAGAUUUUCAAUGAAGUAUCUAUUAAAGCUGAAUUGCUUAAGUUUUCCCAGUCAUUUUUUGCUUGAAUGAGGUUUAUUCUCUUGUAGAUUCCUCAAAAAAGAACUCAUGGAGAGAGUUCUUUGAGUUCUUGAUGUUCAACAUCUUUUCUAAGAUGUUUCUAAAUCUCUAAGUAUAUUUUCAUACUUAAGAGACUAUGGGUGGAUCCAGUGAUGUUGUUGCUGUUCUUUGUGGCAGCUAAACUCUUCAUUGUACCUUUGGGGCAUCUCCUUUGGAAGACUUUCUUGCCCCUCCCCAAGUUAGGCAAUAUAGUUUUCCCAGCGAUAUAGUUUUUGGAUUUUUGUGAGUUGUUUGUUUCCAUUUACCCUUUUCCAAGCCACAAUGAGAAUUUAAAUAUGCCCACUUGACAGUGUUUGAUGACCUUACAGUGACCUAGAGUGACAGGUUUUUUUUCAGUAGGGAACAAGAGCCCUCGUAGGUACUUGUGUCUCCUGCAGCACUAACAUCUCCUUUCAGGUGUGUACCAUCAAUGAAAACUUUAUCUCUGCUCUGUCCCCCAUCUGUCUCAGAUGAAUGAAUGCCCAGUGUAGGCCCAUGGAGCCCCCAUACUCUCUAAAGUUCCUGACAUAGUUCUUCUCUUUUUUCCUCUACUACUUUUUAUAUGUUUAUGUUAUAUCUAGCUUUUAAUCUAUUUGGAACUUGCCCUAUAUACUCUGACAGAUUGGCAAACUUCUUAAUCCAAUUAAUACACAACCAAUCUGUAUUUCUCAGCAUCACUUGAAGUUAGAUUGGGGUCCUGUGACUUAAGAAUUUUUUAGUGGAAUGUGGGUGAAAAUGCUGUUAACUACUUCCAAGUCUAGCUCAUAAAAUCCUAUCAUCCACUCUUCUUGUGUCCCUUGGCUGGAUGUCAAUUCCCAGCAAGCCAUUAGAAGACCCUCUUCUUAAGAUGUAGGAGUAACCAUCAGCCUGGGAACCUAAAUAACCAUGAGAAUCAUUGUCAUCUACAUAUUCCUUCACUUGAACCAAUUGGAUUUAAGUUAUCAUAACAAACACCUAUCAUGUUAAACCAAUGAAAAUUAGGGAUUUUUUUGUUAGACGUGUUAUUACUCUGAUUCAGAAAUUGGUGAUGGAAAGAGGAUGAUACUGUAAAAAUAAAUCCAUAGUACAUGGCAUUCAUUGGUCCAGCAGUCAAUCAAGAUGAAAACUAAUAUCCAAUAUUAUAAAAUGAGAUUUGUGUAAUGCAGUGAUGAAAGAGGUUUUAAAAAGGUCACUUGCAAAUACUUGGAUUGUGAACCACAUGUCCUUGAACCCAUAGCUCUAGGGAAAAGCUAGAAAAUAUAAUGUUGGUAGUGAGUGUUGACUCUUACUACCUGCAUUUAUCAAGAUAAUAAAAGAAGAGAUGGGAUAUGACAAGAAUUUUUUACCUUGCAAGUAUAAAAACACAAAAAAGGAUGGAAAAACCAUUGCUUCUAGUCCUAAGUGAUAAGAGAUUAUGCAUAUUAUGACUUCUGGCUCCAGCACAGAUCUGAGUAAAAUUGUGGUAUUUCCUCCUAAACAAGAUUUCUUUAAGAUAAGGAGCAAAGGACAAAAAAAUAAGUCAACCUUGAGAAUUAUAUUUAGGAAAUAACUUUGGGAGAUGCUAUUAGCAUAUGUAGCUGAAGAGAUACCUUUCUCUCAAAAGCAAACAUCUGCUUAUUUAUAAUGCAAAAAAAAAAAAAAAAUGACCCAAUAAAGCCUUUUCUUUAGCAGCUUUUGGAUGUUCUGUCAUUAGAAGUAUUUGGGGGCUCCUAAACUUGCUCAGGGGAAAUUUGGGUUGCAAAAGUUUAAAAGUCUCUGAGGAGGGUCAUUCUCCAUUAUUUAUAUUUCAAAUGUACUAAUGGACAAAACAGCUGCUAAAGAGUAGAUCCAGAGCUAUGAAGAACAUUGAAUAAGUAGUUCCUCCCAGGUAGCAAAGUUGAAAUCAAGGAUAUAUUCUUACUGCCAGGUUAAAAGGACCUCAAAAUUCCUGCCAGAAGCUUAUCAUAACUAUUAUAGACCAGUUCCUUCCACAUGUUUCUUUACUAGGUACAGCUUAUUACAAAUUUUAUCCCUGCUUGACUAUAAUAUGUUGGGCCAGAUGGCAGUAGGAAGACUUUCUUGACUUGUGUUGUUUGUGCAAGUAUCACUGAAUGUCAGGAACUAUAUCCAGAACUGAUGGAAAGAACCAUGUUAUCACUCAGAUUUUGGACUUGAAGCUGGUUACAAUAACUGGAUGGAAUUUGGGGUUUUCUCACUUGGCGAGUAAAGAAGUAUGCUCUACUUAUAGUAGGAUACUUGGUAACCAGAAAGAUGUACUGUACUAGAUAUUAGCUGAGUGCUCACUUCGUCUAUUUCUUCUUUCCCUCAGGUACAUGGCUGAUACCUAACUUAGUUUGCCAGCCUCCUUGCAAUUAGGCAAAUGCUAGCCAAUGGAAUAUGGGUAAAAUGAUUACAUGAUGUUCACCUCCCCACAAAAUGUUCUAGGCCAUCUUCCACAUUUCUUCCCAUGUUUUCCAGCAGGAUGUUGACAUCCUGGGCUCCCUUGCCAGACAUCUUUUGAAGAUGAAGUUUCUGUGAGCCAGAGUCCUUGCGAGAUUGCGUGGAGAAGAUCCCCUCAACCCAUCCCACCACCUGUUGAGCUUUACAUGAGCAAGAAGAUUGAUGUUUCGUUCCAAAUAAAAGAAGAGCACAUGACUCAUGGGAGGUUUCUGUGAGAUUUUUAAAAAUGCAAAACCAUUACUAAAAUGCAAAGGAGAAAUAAUGGGAAGGUACUGAGAUGUUUAUCUUCUCAUGUAAGGAAAGAACAAGAAAAAAUUGCUCAAAUUGCAGAAGGUUUCAGGGCACCCAUCAGGAUUUCCUGGCAUUAAGUACCUGGACAAGUUACCAAGGCAAAUCAUAGAACCACCUUCUAUAAAGAUCUUUAAAUUUAGGACAAAGCAGGCUAUUACCCUGGCUUUGAUACAGGCCUUUUAAAAGACAGAGAAAUAAGACUUUGCACUUGUCACAUCAAGAACUCUGUGAAAAAAAGGAAAACACAACUCAGAAGGACCUAGGAGGCCCAUCCACUUACUGGUGACAACUGUGCCAUUCCCAGGAAUAUCUUGGUCGGCUGGGUAAGAAAUCUGAUGUCCCUUGGUUUUUCACUCUUUGAGGGAAUCUUAGCAGCACCCUGUGAUCAUAAUCUCUGACAUCUGCCCUGUAUGCUGAGCUGUGGUUUUGAAGAAGGAAACAUUAGUACUUUCACAGGAUACUAUCUAAAGAUGAAUUACAAGCAAAACCCUUUCCAUUUUAUAAUGGCAACUACCUCCCACCUCCAACUAGACUAUCAGUUGCAAGAGACCUGGGGCAUUUUGCUUAUUUUGUUUAUUGCUGAAUCUCCAGAUCCUAGAACGAUGCCUGGCAAGUGGUCAGAGUUCAGUGAAUAUUUGUUGAAUCAGUGAAUGAAUGACCACUAUAGAAACCUGCAGUUAGGAUCCCUGGGUGGCUCAGCGGUUUGGCGCCUGCCUUUGGCCCAGGGCGAGAUCCUGAAGACCCGGGAUCGAAUCCCACAUCAGGCUCCCGGUGCAUGGAACCUGCUUCUCCCUCUG